CGCGGCUUCAAACUGCAGUCCGCACAUGCAGGUCCCCACCACGCUCAAAGUCGUAAAUUCGUCCCCGUCUAGCCGCCGCUGCUGCCGCUGCAUUUCCAAUGCAAUUUCUCUCUCAUACUUUACUUUACCUCGUCCUUCUGACUUUGGCUGACGACACGGACUGACAGUUUGAUUUUCCCGCGACCCACCACCAAAGUCACUCACUCUGACUCAGUAGUUCGCCGAUUCACUUUCGCUCAUUCAAUAUCUACGGCCGCCCCCCCCCCCCCCUUUGGUUUGGUACUAUACGCCGUCCGUUUAGUCUUCGUGGUACCGCGUCGUGGUGCGUGUCCACCCCUUUUUCCUCCGGCAUUUUCGUACCCACCCGGGUCUUAAUAAUAUAGUGUUAGUUUUUUAAUAUUUCAAUAAAAAAAGUGAAAAAUGUCCACUUCAGACGGACAGGAGUACGAAAGUAAAAUGGACAUCAGUUCAAAAGCCUCCAGUACCUCCUCGAGUACGUCGAACCCCCGUACCCCGCCGAACUGCGCGCGAUGCCGGAACCACCGUAAAAAAAUCGCCCUUAAGGGCCACAAACGGUACUGCAUGUACCGGCACUGUAAGUGCCAAAAGUGCCAACUGACCUCGGAGAGGCAACGGGUGAUGGCGAUGCAAACGGCCCUACGUAGGGCCCAAGCACAGGACGAGGCGAUGUUGAAGAACGGCAAUCUGGAUAUGGCGAUGUUACCGCAGAAAACGCCGAGUCCGUUAUUGAAUGUGGACAGGGCCAGUUUGGAUUGCGACUCGUCGGUGUCGUCCGCGUGUUCGACCUCGAUCGCGCCGUUACCGAAGAAAGUGUCGCCGGUACUGGCCGCACCCGCUACCAGCAGUACUUCCUCCUCGAUGCCCGUUGGACUUGUCAGUGAGGUGGUUCCUUAUGAAUAUAAAGCUCGUCCAGAUGAGCCACAUAGUAUAUUAACUAUAGGACAUCAAAGUACAGACCUCCUAGAAGACUGUCAUAAGCUCCUAGAGAAAUUCAACUACCCGUGGGAAAUGAUGCCCUUAAUGUACGCCAUCCUGAAGGACGCCAGGGCGGAUUUAGAAGAAGCGUCGCGACGGAUAGACGAAGGCAAACGGGUAGUAAACGAAUAUUCAAGACUACACAACCUGAACAUGUACGACGGCGUGGAAUUACGUCCCUCGACCCAUAUGAAGACGACUCAAGAUAGAAGAAUCAGCUCCUUCACAGAAACGCCGUUCAAGUCGGUAAAUCUACAGUUCAAGUGCAACCUACUACUAUAAACUGUAAAUUUUUUUUAUUAUAUAUAUUUUUUUUAUUCGGGCUGUUAUACCAAAUAUAAUAAGUAUUCAGUUAGUUCCGUAAAGUAUUUAAUUUUUUAUGAUCAUUAGUAUUAAAUAAGAAGAAAAAGUUCGAUUUUUAAAAGUAGAUUUAGCUAAUUUAAUGUUAACUUGUAAGCUUUCAAUCUUUUUGAAUUUGAAUCUGUAGUAAGAAGAAAGAAAAACUUUGUGGCUUGAUAAGCAUAUUCGGUUCUUCGUGCCAAGGCAGCAGAGGACGCCCUGAGGAACGCCCGUUUCACUCAGCUGUACUACAGGACGUGGGCGGCUUUCCAUCACGCGCCCACGCCCGUGACGGUUUACCAUACGCCCGCGCCCACCUCCCUGGGAGCG
rnacentral:misc_RNA from 1 species